CCUCAAGAAAUUUCCAGAGCAUCCCCUCGGUAAAUCCAGGAAAAUCUAUCUCUGCUUAAGCCUGGGGCAGCAGGAUCUGGUGCAGGCAGGAAGGUUGAGAAGGCUAGCAGGGUCCGUUACCUGGGUGCGUCUUUACUUGGCAGGUCACCCAGAUUUUAAAGCGAGGAAGAACCGUAUGGAAACACCAGAGAAGCUAUGUGAUCACCGCAGACUUUUCAGUCCUCGCCUUCAUUGUUUUCUCUAUGGGUUUCUAACGGUUCACACUCUUUUCGCUUUCACCUCAGUGUUGUUAAGUUUUGAAUAAGUAGCUUGAGACCUUCCUCACAGACUAUAGUAGAAAGCCCGUAUUCCACAGUCACUAAGAGCAGUGCUGGUGCCCUGCCUGGACACAGCAAGGUGCACACCUGUCUUCCUUCUUCCCCAAGUCACCCCUCAGUGGCUCACUCCACCCAGGGGAGACGACCAGGCAGGCACUGUGCCUAAUGCUUUCUGAGCAAUAUUUGGGUCAUUUAAUAAAGGCCCUUUGGGACCCAUCACCAUAACCCAAACAAAAAGUACUGCCUUGGAAUGGCGUUAUAGCACACACCUGGGCAAAAGGUUUCAGCGUGGCAAAAGUGAAGCAAGCACCGCCUUAGGGAACAGUGUUUCUGUCUCUUUAAAGGCAAACAGUUUCGUUACUGGCCCCACCCAACCCGAGCUUCCUGGCUCAGAGGCUUUUAUGGGGUGCAAACACUUUUGCCCGGCACUUCAUGCAACAGCAGCAGCUCACACAGCCUCCUUGGAGGAGACUUGGGACUCAUCCGCUGCUUCCACAGAAACGUUUACAUCUAUGGCCGUACCACCCUGAAUGCUCCUGAUCUUGAAAUUGAAGCAGGGUUGGGCCUGGUUAGUAUUUGGAAGGAAGAAAAAUUUUCCCUACUCCCACUUUACAAAAAAUUUAUCCAUGUUUAUCUUAUUAUUUAUAUGGGUUACUUUUCUACAUUUAAUUUCUGAUCUAUUUGGAAUUUGCAUGGUAUAAGGAAUUGGAUGCAAUUUUAUCCUUUUCUAUGUGGUUAUAUAGUUACCCGAAUGUUAUUUAUGAAAUUGUUCAUCUUUUCCCCCGUUGAUAUGAGAUGGUGUUUUAUGGAAUAUAAAUGUAACAUAAUAUAAUUGAAUUGAACAUAAAUGAAUAUUAGAUGAGCAAUGGUCUGUUCCUUAAUUUUAUGCUUCUGUUUCACAGUCUGUCUCUCUAUUCAUUCACCAACAUCCUACUUCUUUAAUUAUAGAGACUAUAAUGUUUCACUCUUGGUAGAGGUAGUCUUUUCUUGUUCUUCCUUUUCUUGAUUGUCCAGACUAACUUGCUUUUCUCUGCAUCCAAAUGGACUUUGUAAUCAGCAUUUUUAGUUCCAGAAAAAAAGAUGACAAAAGUUAAAAAAUUUGUAUUUGAAUAAAAUCAUAUUAAAGAAGUAUGUAUUAAUUUCUACUUUAUGAAAUGGCUUAAACAUGAAUCAGUGUUAAAUUUGGCCAAAUGUCCUUUCUGCAUCUAGGUAAUUUUCUUGUUAAUCUAUGUAUAUAUGAUAGCAAUUUUCUCAUAUUGACUUAACCCCCCUAGUAUUUCUGAAAUAAAUCACCCUAAAUCAUGGCGUAUCACUUAUUACUGUCUAAUAAUUUGGACAUUUAGGAUUUUUGCAUCAAUUUUGUAUCAAUUGAUGCAAAAAUUUAGGAUUUUUGCAUCAAUAUUCACAAAUGAGUUUGUGAGUCUGUAGUUUUUUAUUGGUGAAAUCUUUGCCAGUUUUUGGAAUCAAUAUUAUACUUGCAUAGAAAGAAUUUAAAGUUUUCCUUCUUUUUGUGUGGUUGGGAACAGUUUAAGAAGCAUUGAGAUGAUCAGAUAUUAAAAGGUUUUUUUUUUUUG